CAGUCGCCGCGGUAAUACAGAGGGUGCGAGCGUUAAUCGGAUUUACUGGGCGUAAAGCGUGCGUAGGCGGCUAAUUGAGUCGGAUGUGAAAUCCCUGAGCUUAACUUGGGAAUUGCAUUCGAUACUGGUUAGCUAGAGUGUGGGAGAGGAUGGUAGAAUUCCAGGUGUAGCGGUGAAAUGCGUAGAGAUCUGGAGGAAUACCGAUGGCGAAGGCAGCCAUCUGGCCUAACACUGACGCUGAGGUACGAAAGCAUGGGGAGCAAACAGGAUUAGAUACCCCAGUAGUCCCUGUCUCUUAUAC
rnacentral:rRNA from 1 species